rnacentral:rRNA from 1 species
GACGAACGCUGGCGGCGUGCUUAACACAUGCAAGUCGAACGGAAAGGCCCUGCUUUUGUGGGGUGCUCGAGUGGCGAACGGGUGAGUAACACGUGAGUAACCUGCCCUUGACUUUGGGAUAACUUCAGGAAACUGGGGCUAAUACCGGAUAGGAGCUCCUGCUGCAUGGUGGGGGUUGGAAAGUUUCGGCGGUUGGGGAUGGACUCGCGGCUUAUCAGCUUGUUGGUGGGGUAGUGGCUUACCAAGGCUUUGACGGGUAGCCGGCCUGAGAGGGUGACCGGCCAAAAUGGGACUGAGAUACGGCCCAGACUCCUACGGGAGGCAGGAGUGGGGAAUAUUGCACAAUGGGCGGAAGCCUGAUGCAGCAACGCCGCGUGCGGGAUGACGGCCUUCGGGUUGUAAACCGCUUUCGCCUGUGACGAAGCGUGAGUGACGGUAAUGGGUAAAGAAGCACCGGCUAACUACGUG